UACGUAGGGCGCAAGCGUUGUCCGGAAUUAUUGGGCGUAAAGAGCUCGUAGGCGGCCUGUUGCGUCCGCUGUGAAAUCCCGGGGCUCAACCCCGGGCCUGCAGUGGAUACGGGCUGGCUAGAGGCAGGCAGGGGAGAACGGAAUUCCUGGUGUAGCGGUGAAAUGCGCAGAUAUCAGGAGGAACACCGGUGGCGAAGGCGGUUCUCUGGGCCUGUACUGACGCUGAGGAGCGAAAGCGUGGGGAGCGAACAGG
rnacentral:rRNA from 1 species